UACAGAGGGGGCUAGCGUUGUUCGGAAUUAUUGGGCGUAAAGCGCGUGUAGGCGGCUUUGCAAGUCGGGUGUGAAAGCCCUCAGCUUAACUGAGGAAGUGCGCCCGAAACUGCAGAGCUUGAGUACCGGAGAGGAUGGUGGAAUUCCCCAAGUAGAGGUGAAAUUCGUAGAUAUGGGGAGGAAUACCGGUGGCGAAGGCGGCAUCCUGGACCGACAUUGACGCUGAUGAGCGAAAGCCAGGGGAGCAAACGGG
rnacentral:rRNA from 1 species